AACGAACGCUGGCGGCAGGCUUAACACAUGCAAGUCGAACGGUUGUAGCAAUACAGCAGUGGCGCACGGGUGAGUAACGCGUGGAUAUCUGCCUUUUGGUUUGGAAUAACUCCGGGAAACUGGAGCUAAUACCGGAUGGUUCCUACGGGAUAAAGAUUUAUCGCCAAAAGAUGAGUCCGCGUACGAUUAGCUAGUUGGUGAGGUAAUGGCUCACCAAGGCGACGAUCGGUUAGCUGGUCUGAGAGGACGAUCAGCCACACUGGGGACUGAGACACGGCCCAGACUCCUACGGGAGGCAGCAGUGGGGAAUAUUGGACAAUGGGGGCAACCCUGAUCCAGCCAUGCCGCGUGAGUGAUGAAGGCCUUCGGGUGUAAGCUCUUUUGGCGGGGACGAUAAGUGACGGGUACCCGACAGAAUAAGCCCCGGCUAACUUCGUGCCAGCAGCCG
rnacentral:rRNA from 1 species